rnacentral:rRNA from 1 species
ACGGGAGGCAGCAGUGAGGAAUAUUGGUCAAUGGGCGGAGGCCUGAACCAGCCAAGUCGCGUGAAGGAUGAAGGUAUUAUGUAUUGUAAACUUCUUUAGCUGUGGAGCAAUAAUCUCCAUGUAUGGAGAGAUGAGAGUACACAGAGAAUAAGGAUCGGCUAACUCCGUGCCAGCAGCCGCGGUAAUACGGAGGAUCCGAGCGUUAUCCGGAUUUAUUGGGUUUAAAGGGUGCGCAGGCGGCUUUCUAAGUCAGUGGUCAAAUCGUGGUGCUCAACGCCAUCCCGCCAUUGAUACUGGAGAGCGUGAUUGCGGUCGAGGUUUGCGGAAUUCGUCGUGUAGCGGUGAAAUGCAUAGAUAUGACGAAGAACACCGAUUGCGUAGGCAGCAGACCAGGCCGUAAAUGACGCUCAUGCACGAAAGUGCGGGGAUCGAACAGGAUUAGAUACCCUGGUA